rnacentral:rRNA from 1 species
ACAGCAGCCGCCGCGGGAAAACGUAGGGUCCGAGCGUUGUCCGGAAUUAUUGGGCGUAAAGAGCUCGUAGGCGGUCUGUCGCGUCUGCCGUGAAAUCCUCAGGCUCAACCUGAGGCGUGCGGUGGGUACGGGCAGGCUAGAGUGCGGUAGGGGAGAAUGGAACUCCUGGUGUAGCGGUGGAAUGCGCAGAUAUCAGGAAGAACACCGAUGGCGAAGGCAGUUCUCUGGGCCGUAACUGACGCUGAGGAGCGAAAGCGUGGGGAGCGAACAGGAUUAGAUACCCCCGUAGUCCCUGUCUCUUAUAC